UGGCGGCGAGUGGCGAACGGGUGAGUAAUAUAUCGGAACGUACCCAGAAGUGGGGGAUAACGUAGCGAAAGUUACGCUAAUACCGCAUACGAUCUACGGAUGAAAGUGGGGGACCUUCGGGCCUCAUGCUUUUGGAGCGGCCGAUAUCUGAUUAGCUAGUUGGUGAGGUAAAGGCCCACCAAGGCGACGAUCAGUAGCUGGUCUGAGAGGACGACCAGCCACACUGGAACUGAGACACGGUCCAGACUCCUACGGGAGGCAGCAGUGGGGAAUUUUGGACAAUGGGCGCAAGCCUGAUCCAGCAAUGCCGCGUGAGUGAAGAAGGCCUUCGGGUUGUAAAGCUCUUUUGUCAGGGAAGAAACGGCUUAGGCUAAUAUCUUGGGCUAAUGACGGUACCUGAAGAAUAAGCACCGGCUAACUACGUGCCAGCAGCCGCGGUAAUACGUAGGGUGCAAGCGUUAAUCGGAAUUACUGGGCGUAAAGCGUGCGCAGGCGGUUUUGUAAGUCUGACGUGAAAGCCCCGGGCUCAACCUGGGAAUUGCGUUGGAGACUGCAAGGCUUGAAUCUGGCAGAGGGGGGUAGAAUUCCACGUGUAGCAGUGAAAUGCGUAGAGAUGUGGAGGAACACCGAUGGCGAAGGCAGCCCCCUGGGUCAAGAUUGACGCUCAUGCACGAAAGCGUGGGGAGCAAACAGGAUUAGAUA
rnacentral:rRNA from 1 species